UUAUGGAAAGAUUGUGAAAAUGUCACUUUGCCAGUCAUGGUGAUUCAUAAUCAUCAAGUCUGGCAAACAAGGAAGAAAGUAAAGUACAUUUCAGGGUUCAUUUUCCUUUGAAAUUGACCCAAGUGUCAUCACAAUGCCUUUCCCCCAAUUUAUGCAGGCAAUGGAGGACAUGACGAAGGACAUCAAACCAGGGGGAAAAGGAGACAACAGCAUUCCAGGAGAUACACACGGAAAUGUACACACCAAAUACACCAGAGCCUGUGAAUGAUGCAAACAAAAGUGGAUCAAGGCAAAACCAAAUAAAGAAAAUUCUGACAAUCAAUAAUUUCGAAAGGUGUAAAAGUUUUCUAAAAAUAUUAAAAUCUCCACAGAACUGA